CCUUUCCACAUAUUGCUAUACCUGCGAGACCAAAUUUGUAAUCAGAAAGUUAGUAAGUAAGCAAGGAACAAACACCAAAAAGCACACUAUCUGGAACUUCAUCCAGGUCAUGAAAAAGUCUUAUGAACUAACCUGCCACCACAGAAAUCACUUUUUUUGUGAAUAUUCACCUUUGCCAGAUUAGUCUCUCAUCUUGCACAGUAACACAGCAUAAACACUCUCUAAUACUGAUGAUCAACUACCCAUACUAUUCAGAGAGUAUAUAAUGAAACUGAUUACAUGGUUUUUUUGUUUGUUUUGCAGUUUUGCUUCCUGGAGACAAUACCCAGCUCAAUUAAUGAGAUACCCUAAAUUUCAUCUACCAAAACACUACUUCUUUUUUUCUUUUUUGAGACAGGAUCUCACUCUGUCAGCCAGACUGGAGUGCAGUGGUAUGAACAUAGCUCACUUCAGCCUUGGUCUCCGUGGCUCAAGUGAUUCUCCUCCCACCUCAGCUUCCUGAGUAGCUGAGAACACAGGUGCACACCAUCACGUCUGGCUUUUUUUUUUUGUAGAGACAGGGUCUCACCAUGUUGCCUAGGCUGGUCUUAGACUCCUGGGUCAAGUGAUCCUCCUGCCUCGGCCUCCCAAAGUGCCAAGAUUAUAGGUAUGAUUCACCACACUCAGCCCCAAAACACUUCUUAAGGUAGUGUCUGAGAGAACAGAGAAAGACAUGGGAAAGUCAGAGUGUCAUGAGGACACUCAAACAGCCCAUGGAAAGGCUCGCAAGGGAAGAACUACUGGCAUCUUGCCAACAACCAGAACCAACUAACAGCCAGGCAUGUGAGUGUGUUACCUUUGAAGCUGAUGAUCCUGCACCCCUAAUCAAGUGACAUGACAGCAGCCCUGGCACAUAUCUUCACUGCAACCUCAGGAGACCCAAAGCCAGAUCAACCCAGAAAGUCAUUUCUGAGUUCCUGACCCACAGAAACUGUGGAGUAAUAAAUGUUUACUGUUGUUUUAAGCUACUAUGUUUUGGUAUAACUUAUGCAGU
rnacentral:lncRNA from 10 species